rnacentral:rRNA from 1 species
UACGUAGGGUGCGAGCGUUGUCCGGAAUUAUUGGGCGUAAAGAGCUCGUAGGCGGUCUGUCGCGUCGGCUGUGAAAACCCGGAGCUCAACUCCGGGCCUGCAGUCGAUACGGGCAGACUGGAGUACUGCAGGGGAGACUGGAAUUCCUGGUGUAGCGGUGGAAUGCGCAGAUAUCAGGAGGAACACCCGUGGCUAAGGCGGCUCUCUAGUACGGUACUGACGCUGAGACGCGAAAGCGUGGGGAGCGAACAGG